CAGAGAGCUUCUGAUCUUGGGCUCACAGCGAGAGCCAUCUGGACUUAAAUUCAGACGCAAGUAUAACUUCUGUUUUUUAAAGACUUGCUUGCAACUCGCUAAGAUGUUCUCUGUAUGCAGCAUUGUUUUCCCUACUUGUCCUCUGUGACAACAAACAACUUUAUAAAGAACCCCAACAGCUUUCUGCAAGAUCUUUGGCUUUGCUGAAGCACUGCUGAGCAGACCCACAGCUGGACUGAGACAGGAAUGAGGCAGUCCAGCUAAUUUUGGCUGCUGCAGACAGGGGAGAUCUGCCACUCGCUUGGCCUUGCACAGGGCCACAGACUCACCAGCUGGCGAAACAGGUCUUAGAAGCGAGCAGUAGUGGCUGCACACAAAGGAGCCAGCUCUUGCUUUGGUAGGUAAGAACAGAAUACAAGGACCAAGCUGGGUGAAAACAGCAGCCAGGCUGGAAGCCACGCUCGGAGCACUGAGCCAUAGACAGUAGUUUCUGUUGGUUUGUUCAGGGGUCAGAACAGGUGAGGCCUCUAAAACUGUGUUUACGUGGCAGCAGUGCGCCAUUCCUCACUGCCAGCCAACAAGCUGUGAAGUUCUGAAGUAACUUACCCUUGGGCAUACAGCAAAGCUUGAAAGGAGGGUCAGCGUUUUGUAGAAAAUAGCAACUGCAUUUUUGGGAAUGGCUGUGUGUGGAGACAGCCCUGCUGCAGUGGACCACAGAGCCCAGGAGCACCAUGACAGCAGCAGCCAAGGCCAAACCCAGCGCCUCUGGAACAGAGCAGUGUGUUAGGGCAGCACAACAGAGGUCACCUCCGCCCAGCUGGGCCCCUGCACACACCUCUGCCUGCUUGCAUCAAGUGCAGAGAGCGGCCAGAAUCCAACCAGCCUUGGGUAGAACCCAUCUUUCCUGUUGGGCUGCUCUUGAGAGAAGAGCCCCCAAGCUCGAGCGAGCCCAUGGCAAACAGCCCAACUGCUGCCUACCACGGUAACGAAGGAAGACAUCUUGUCCAUUACCACUGCACGGCCGUGCGGCAUCGCAGGAGCACGCAGCUCACCACCGCUCCGCGGGCAGGGCUGGGAAGAGGCAUAGGGAAGAGGGACGUGGGCUGCGCUCCAGCAGCAGGGCGGCCUGCCAGGUGGGGAGAGAGGCAGAGCGAGACUCUCAUCGAGUGCUAAGGAGAAUGCCGGAGCACCACUUGUUCCACGUGAUGCCUCAGCUUCUAAAAUUAAGUAGUUCGGUAAAACACCCCCCCUACAGCUAAGCCUCCUUUCUUCCUCGAAGGUUGUAGUACUUUGGCAAUAUCGGCAGCAAGAGAAUUUCGGACUGUAUGGUAGUGAACGCUUCGGCAUCGCACACACAGGAAGAACACAAAGUCAUGCUUUGCUGUCUCCUCCUGUUAGCAUUUCACAUCUCGGGAGCUUGUGACCAGUUAUGUUGAAAAGAAUUUGCUAUUCCACAUAACAAAUCAGCAUUGAAAAGGACACAUCUGAGGGAAAACA
ensembl:lncRNA